UACGUAGGGUGCAAGCGUUAAUCGGAAUGACUGGGCGUAAAGGGUGUGUAGGCGGUCUGCUAAGUCUGAUGUGAAAGCCCCGGGCUCAACCUGGGAACUGCGUUGGAAACUAGCAAACUAGAGUACGGUAAGAGGGGGGUGGAAUUCCACGUGUAGCAGUGAAAUGCGUAGAGAUGUGGAGGAACACCGAUGGCCGGAAAGGCAACCCCCUGGGACGGAUACUGACGCUGGAGGCACGAAAAGCGUGGGGAGCAAACAGG
rnacentral:rRNA from 1 species